UACGUAGGAGACUAGCGUUGUCCGGAAUUACUGGGUGUAAAGCGCGUGUAGGCGGCAUACCAAGUCUGUUGUGAAAUCGCCCGGCUCAACUGGGCGGGGUCAAUGGAAACUGGUAAGCUGGAGGACGGUAGAGGCGAGUGGAAUUCCCGGUGUAGUGGUGAAAUGCGUAGAUAUUGGGAGGAACACCAGUGGCGAAGGCGGCUCGCUGGACCGGUUCUGACGCUGAUGCGCGAAAGCGUGGGGAGCAAACGGG
rnacentral:rRNA from 1 species